rnacentral:rRNA from 1 species
UACGUAGGGUGCGAGCGUUAAUCGGAAUUACUGGGCGUAAAGCGUGCGCAGGCGGUUCGUUGUGUCGGUGGUGAAAGCCCCGGGCUUAACCUGGGAAUGGCCAUGGAAACUGGCGAACUGGAGUGUGGCAGAGGGGGGUGGAAUUCCGCGUGUAGCAGUGAAAUGCGUAGAGAUGCGGAGGAACACCGAUGGCGAAGGCAGCCCCCUGGGCUAGCACUGACGCUCAGGCACGAAAGCGUGGGGAACAAACAGG